GCUGAUAUGGCCGAGUCGUUAAGGCGAGUGAUUCGAACAUCCAUCCGCUAUCACUUGGGCAUUGCCCGCGUAGGUUCAAAUCCUACUGUCAGCG